GUUAAAAUACUCGUUCUCGUAGGAUCACUAAAGUUAAGUUACGUCGAGCCUGGUAAGUACUAAAAUGAGUGACCGCUUGUGAAUACCAGGUGUU